rnacentral:rRNA from 1 species
UACGAAAGUAGGUAUUAGUGAUCCGGUGGUCCCGAAAGUAAGGGUCAUCGCUCAACGGAUAAAAGGUACUCCGGGGAUAACAGGCUAAUUCCUCCCAAGAGUUCAUAUCUACGGAGGAGUUUGGCACCUCGAUGUCGGCUCAUCACAUCCUGGGGCUGAAGUAGGUCACAUGGGUAUGGCUGUUCGCCAUUUCAAGUGGUACGCGAGCUGGGUUCAGAACGUCGUGAGAC